GACGAACGCUGGCGGCGUGCUUAACACAUGCAAGUCGAACGGUGAACUCCGCUUGCGGGGGGAUCAGUGGCGAACGGGUGCGUAACACGUGGGCAACCUGCCCUCAGCUCUGGGAUAACUCCAAGAAAUUGGGGCUAAUACCGGAUAUGACCGCUGACCGCAUGGUCUGGUGGUGGAAAGAGUUAUCGGCUGGGGAUGGGCCCGCGGCCUAUCAGCUUGUUGGUGGGGUAGUGGCCUACCAAGGCGACGACGGGUAGCCGGCCUGGGAGGGUGACCGGCCACACUGGGACUGAGACGCGGCCCAGACGCCUACGGGGGGCAGGAGUGGAGAAUAUUGCGCAAAGGGCGAAAGCCUGACGCAGCGACGCCGCGUGGGGGAUGACGGCCUUCGGGUUGUAAACCUCUUUCAGCAGGGACGAAGCGAAAGUGACGGUACCUGCAGAAGAAGCACCGGCCAACUACGU
rnacentral:rRNA from 1 species